GCUUUUGUGUGGAUUAUGCGUAUUUAUUUAUGUGCAAUGUUAGGUUAAAUUUUUUUGUGACAGUGUGUGGUAAAUAGGUUUUGUUAUGAUAUAUAUGAUGACAGGGAUUAGAUACCCCAUUAAUGUAUUUUGUAAAGUUGUUCUAGUUUUGUAACUAAAAAUGGUUUGGCAGUGAGCGAUUCUUAUUAGGGGAAUAUGCAUAGUGAAGGAUGGUCCACCUAUUAGUUUACUCUUUUUAUGUUGGUGUAUGUCUGGUUUGA
rnacentral:rRNA from 1 species